ACUCAAUCUCUAUAUUUUCUUUCCGAAACAGAGAACUCAAAACCCUCACAGAUCAAGAUCGUAUACACAUUCAAGAGACCAUCAGGAGAUAGAGAUGGAGCAACAAUAAUGCAGCAAAGAACACAUCGCUGCAGCUGCAGAAGGAGCACUCGUGAAGCUGCACAUUUCGUCCGUCUGAACACUUUUUAAUAUCAGUAUUUUGUGUGUAAUGUAUCAUGCUCAGUUAUUUAAUCAGAAGCUUGGCUUUGACUUAGAGCAAAGAUGGGCCUUAUUUGGAAUAAUAUGUUAUGUAUAUUGUGUUUAUGCAUUAAGUAUUUGCAGAUAUCUUUUCACUAAAAAAGUUUUAUUUUUACACUA